rnacentral:rRNA from 1 species
CCUACGGGUGGCAGCAGUGGGGAAUAUUGGACAAUGGGCGAAAGCCUGAUCCAGCCAUGCCGCGUGUGUGAAGAAGGCCUUCGGGUUGUAAAGCACUUCAGUGGGGAAGAAAGCCUUGGGGCUAAUACCCUCGAGGAAGGACAUCACCCACAGAAGAAGCACCGGCUAACUCCGUGCCAGCAGCCGCGGUAAUACGGAGGGUGCGAGCGUUAAUCGGAAUUACUGGGCGUAAAGCGCGCGUAGGCGGUCUGAUAAGCCGGUUGUGAAAGCCCCGGGCUCAACCUGGGAACGGCAUCCGGAACUGUCAGGCUAGAGUGCAGGAGAGGAAGGUAGAAUUCCCGGUGUAGCGGUGAAAUGCGUAGAGAUCGGGAGGAAUACCAGUGGCGAAGGCGGCCUUCUGGACUGACACUGACGCUGAGGUGCGAAAGCGUGGGUAGCAAACAGGAUUAGAUACCCUGGUAGUC